UGGAGUUGCCACGUUCGGCGCUGCUCCGGGCCGAAGCACCGCGGAUCUGGGAGCCGGAGGGUUGCCCAACACGCCCUAACUCGCUGGCACCAGCUGAAGAGCUUAUCUGUCCAAGAGACCAGGAGUGGAUGCGUUUGGGGAUCAUCCUGGUUGUGUAUUCUGAUCGGUUGAAUAUGGGCGUGGUAUGGAUGGAUGAAGGCGUAGAACAGGCGCAUCCCAGCCUUCUCUUACCCAAAUCUGUGAGGCAAGCAUCCUUCCAUCGUUUUAUGGAUUGAAGAAGGCGCACAAUGAGAUCGGUCCACCCUUCUCUUACCCGGAUCAGCCAAGGGAUCAUCCUUCCAUGACAACGGCCAAAUCAUGUACUGAUGACCUCUCGACGGCGUCGUAUACGUCUAGGUCAACACAUUCAC